rnacentral:rRNA from 1 species
GGUAACAGGAAACAGCUUGCUGUUUCGCUGACGAGUGGCGGACGGGUGAGUAAUGUCUGGGAAACUGCCUGAUGGAGGGGGAUAACUACUGGAAACGGUAGCUAAUACCGCAUAACGUCGCAAGACCAAAGAGGGGGACCCUCGGGCCUCUUGCCAUCGGAUGUGCCCAGAUGGGAUUAGCUUGUUGGUGGGGUAACGGCUCACCAAGGCGACGAUCCCUAGCUGGUCUGAGAGGAUGACCAGCCACACUGGAACUGAGACACGGUCCAGACUCCUACGGGAGGCAGCAGUGGGGAAUAUUGCACAAUGGGCGCAAGCCUGAUGCAGCCAUGCCGCGUGUAUGAAGAAGGCCUUCGGGUUGUAAAGUACUUUCAGCGGGGAGGAAGGGAGUAAAGUUAAUACCUUUGCUCAUUGACGUUACCCGCAGAAGAAGCACCGGCUAACUCCGUGCCAGCAGCCGCGGUAAUACGGAGGGUGCAAGCGUUAAUCGGAAUUACUGGGCGUAAAGCGCACGCAGGCGGCUUGUUAAGUCAGAUGUGAAAUCCCCGGGCUCAACCUGGGAACUGCAUCUGAUACUGGCAAGCUUGAGUCUCGUAGAGGGGGGUAGAAUUCCAGGUGUAGCGGUGAAAUGCGUAGAGAUCUGGAGGAAUACCGGUGGCGAAGGCGGCCCCCUGGACGAAGACUGACGCUCAGGUGCGAAAGCGUGGGGAGCAAACAGG